GCUGGGCAUGGUGGCACAUGCCCGUAAUCCCAGCUACUCAGGAGGCUGAGGCAGGAGAAUUGCUUGAACCUGGGAGGCCGAGGUUGCAGUGAGCCAAAAUCGUGCCACUGCACUCCAGCCUGGGUGACAGAGCAAGACUCCGUCUCAA
ensembl:misc_RNA Metazoa_SRP Metazoan signal recognition particle RNA